GCCAGGUGGAGUGGCAUACUCCUGUAAUCCCAGUAGCUCUGAAGGCUGAGGCAGGAGGAUUGCAAGUUUAAAGCCAUCCUCAGCAAUUUAGUGAGGGCUUAAACAACUUAGUAAGAAUCUGUCUCUA
rnacentral:sRNA from 1 species